rnacentral:rRNA from 1 species
UGCAGUCGAACGAUGAUGCCCAGCUUGCUGGGUGGAUUAGUGGCGAACGGGUGAGUAAUACGUGAGUAACCUGCCCUUGACUCUGGGAUAAGCCUGGGAAACUGGGUCUAAUACUGGAUACUACCGUCCAUCGCAUGGUGGGUGGUGGAAAGGGUUUUACUGGUUUUGGAUGGGCUCACGGCCUAUCAGCUUGUUGGUGGGGUAAUGGCUCACCAAGGCGACGACGGGUAGCCGGCCUGAGAGGGUGACCGGCCACACUGGGACUGAGACACGGCCCAGACUCCUACGGGAGGCAGCAGUGGGGAAUAUUGCACAAUGGGCGGAAGCCUGAUGCAGCGACGCCGCGUGAGGGAUGACGGCCUUCGGGUUGUAAACCUCUUUCAGUAGGGAAGAAGCGAGAGUGACGGUACCUGCAGAAGAAGCGCCGGCUAACUACGUGCCAGCAGCCGCGGUAAUACGUAGGGCGCAAGCGUUGUCCGGAAUUAUUGGGCGUAAAGAGCUCGUAGGCGGUUUGUCGCGUCUGCUGUGAAAGCCCGGGGCUCAACCCCGGGUCUGCAGUGGGUACGGGCAGACUAGAGUGCAGUAGGGGAGACUGGAAUUCCUGGUGUAGCGGUGAAAUGCGCAGAUAUCAGGAGGAACACCGAUGGCGAAGGCAGGUCUCUGGGCUGUUACUGACGCUGAGGAGCGAAAGCAUGGGGAGCGAACAGGAUUAGAUACCCUGGUAGUCCAUGCCGUAAACGUUGGGCACUAGGUGUGGGGGACAUUCCACGUUCUCCGCGCCGUAGCUAACGCAUUAAGUGCCCCGCCUGGGGAGUACGGCCGCAAGGCUAAAACUCAAAGGAAUUGACGGGGGCCCGCACAAGCGGCGGAGCAUGCGGAUUAAUUCGAUGCAACGCGAAGAACCUUACCAAGGCUUGACAUUCAUCGGAUCGUCCCAGAGAUGGGGUUUCCCUUCGGGGUCGGUGGACAGGUGGUGCAUGGUUGUCGUCAGCUCGUGUCGUGAGAUGUUGGGUUAAGUCCCGCAACGAGCGCAACCCUCGUUCUAUGUUGCCAGCACGUGAUGGUGGGGACUCAUAGGAGACUGCCGGGGUCAACUCGGAGGAAGGUGGGGAUGACGUCAAAUCAUCAUGCCCCUUAUGUCUUGGGCUUCACGCAUGCUACAAUGGCCGGUACAAAGGGUUGCGAUACUGUGAGGUGGAGCUAAUCCCAAAAAGCCGGUCUCAGUUCGGAUUGAGGUCUGCAACUCGACCUCAUGAAGUCGGAGUCGCUAGUAAUCGCAGAUCAGCAACGCUGC